rfam:Coxiellaceae bacterium CC99 CC99x_contig000018, whole genome shotgun sequence.
GGGGGCGACCAGGCUUCGACGGGGUACUUGAAACUUAAGGUGCAUGUCGAGCAGGCAAUUAAUCUCGUUAAACUUAACUGCAAUCGUCAUAAUUGCAAACGACGAAAACUACGCAAUCGCUGCUUAAGCGAUAGCCUCUCUCCUAGCCGGGCUUGUACGGUUAGACAGGGGGUAACUUUUACAAGAUCGCCAAUGGCUUUGUUUCGAAGUCCUUGGUUAAAACUCAGAGACUCGCUGUUUGCACCCUGCUAGAUCGGGUGUAGCCAGUUAAAAUAAUGGUCUAGAUAAACAUGUAGACCCUUCAGCGUAGAUGCUUCGGACGCGGGUUCGAUUCCCGCCGCCUCCACAA